rnacentral:misc_RNA from 1 species
GCCCCGCCACCCCAACAGGGGUACGCCCCACCCAUGCACACUUCACAAUCAAACACAACCGUGGUAGUGGCGGGAGGGGGAGGGGCGGCGCCGGUCGUGAUUCAGCAGGUGCCCGAGAGAUUUGCAGAUAAGAUCUGCUUAAAUUUGGUGAUCAGCUUUUUCUUUUGGCCUUGGCUGAUUGUAUGGCUGUGUUUGUGUAUUUUUGAAACAUAGAGUUGGAGAUCUGGUGCCUCUAUAUGGAGAUACAGAACAACUUAUGUGAAGAAACAUUCAGUCAUAUAAUCAUAUCAAAUGGUUAAUUCUGACGUUAUUACGAAUCAUAAAGAAUUCACAUUGGGUUUUUUUAUUAACAUUUUUGUGAUCAUUUGAAAGAGCAUAAUCAUACAGCUUGCAUUUAUAAUGAAAACAGACAUAUUAC